CCUACGGGUGGCAGCAGUGGGGAAUAUUGGGCAAUGGGCGCAAGCCUGACCCAGCCAAGCCGCGUGAAGGAAGAAGGCCCUCGGGUUGUAAACUUCUUUUGUCAGGGACGAAGAAAGUGACGGUACCUGACGAAUAAGCCACGGCUAACUACGUGCCAGCAGCCGCGGUAAUACGUAGGUGGCAAGCGUUAUACGGAUUUAAUGGGUGUAAAGGGAGUGUAGGCGGGACUACAAGUCAGAGGUGAAAUUCCAGGGCUCAACCCUGGAACUGCAUUUGAAACUGGAGUUCUUGAGUGAUGGAGAGGCAGGCGGAAUGCGGGGUGUAGCGGUGAAAUGCGUAGAUAUACGGAGGAACACCAGUGGCGAAGGCGGCAUGCUGGACAUUAACUGACGCUGAGGCGCGAAAGCGUGGGGAGCAAACAGGAUUAGAUACCCUAGUAGUC
rnacentral:rRNA from 1 species